rnacentral:rRNA from 1 species
GAUGAACGCUGGCGGCGUGCCUAAUACAUGCAAGUCGAGCGAAUGGAUUAAGAGCUUGCUCUUAUGAAGUUAGCGGCGGACGGGUGAGUAACACGUGGGUAACCUGCCCAUAAGACUGGGAUAACUCAGGGAAACCGGGGCUAAUACCGGAUAACAUUUUGAACCGCAUGGUUAGAAAUUGAAAGGCGGCUUCGGCUUUCAAUUAUGGAUGGACCCGAGUCGCAUUAGCUAGUUGGGGAGGUAACGGCUCACCAAGGCAACGAUGCGUAGCCGACCUGAGAGGGUGAUCGGCCACACUGGGACUGAGACACGGCCCAGACUCCUACGGGAGGCAGCAGUAGGGAAUCUUCCGCAAUGGACGAAAGUCUGACGGAGCAACGCCGCGUGAGUGAUGAAGGCUUUCGGGUCGUAAAACUCUGUUGUUAGGGAAGAACAAGUGCUAGUUGAAUAAGCUGGCACCUUGACGGUACCUAACCAGAAAGCCACGGCUAACUACGUGCCAGCAGCCGCAGUAA